CUGUAACUUGGGACGCAAAUGAUUGUGACAUAUCAUCUAAACACGCAUUACACUACAACAUUGUUAAAUAUUAGAUUCUGAUUGGCUUGAAGUGCAUUCUACAUUUGGGUAUGCUUUAAUAUAUCAGUGUGACAGAUUCACUUUUACCGACCGUGUCUUAGGUAAACCUACAGUCUUGCGCUUUUAUCUGCUCAACGACCGCAGAGUGAAGGAAAAGCAGCCAUUCCUCAUGAAGCUGGUUGAGAGAAUGCCAAGAGGAUGCAAAGCUGUCAUCGAGGCAAAGGGCCAUUUGACCAGAGUGGAUUCCUUAGAAUCUAGAUCUCCUUCCAUGGCUGGGGUGGGUACAUGAAGGCAGCGUUCUGGAUCUGGUCGUUAAUGUCCUCGUCCUCGUUGAAGGGGAAUGUCCCGCUGAGGCUGACGUAAACGAUGACCCCCACAGACCACAUGUCCAGGGAGCGGUUGUAGCCCUUACUACGCAGCACCUCUGGGGCCAGGUAGGCCGGAGUACCCACCACCGAACGCCUGAACGACUUCUCACCGAUGAUACGGGCAAAGCCAAAGUCACACAGUUUAACCUGCCGGGACACACAACACAAUGCUACAU